ACAUGCUAUUCUCUUCGCGGUAAAAUAACACCAUCGUUUUGUAGAUAAAAAUGUUAAUUUGGGGGGCACCUGGGUGACUCAAUCGGUUGAGCGUCUGACUCUCGAUUUUGGCUCAGGUCAUGGUCUCACGGUUUGUGGGAUCGAGCCCCACAUCAGGCUCUGCGCUGACAGUGCAGAGCCUGCUUGGGAUUCUCUCUCUCUCUCUCUCUCUCUCUCUCUCUCUCUCUCUCUCUGCCCCUCCCCAGCUUGCUCACGCUUGCUUGAGCUCUUUCUCUUUCUCUCUCAAAAUAAAUAAGUAAACUUUUAAAAAAUGUUUAUUUUGAGAUCAGCUUGUUUUCCCAAAGGCUGCUUACUCCUAAGUGAGAUGAUCAAGUUCUACAGUACAUAGCAAAGUGGCAUCCUUGGGUCGGAUCUUAACCAAUGCAGAACAGGCUCCAGAACUGCAUGCUGCCAUUUUGGUCUUAUUCAGGAGGCUCUGUGACAAUGCAGUACCAGUUUAUGUGUGUAUCCACAGAUCACAUCCUAUAACCUAUUAUCUGCACUGUUCUAAUGUUCUCUGCUCAGAGGAAAAAUUACAGAUCUAUUAAUCUACUGCUAUCAAUAAACUCCUCUGAAACUUUAUGGCUUAAAAUGAUAAACAUUACCUCACAGUUUCUGUGGAUCAGGAGUUUGAGAACAUUUUAGCUGGGUGGUUCUGAUUCAGUAUCUCCCAUGAGAUUGUGGUCAGCCUAUCAGCCGGGGCUUGACUGGCCCUGAGCGAUCCACAGGGCCACAAUGGCCCACUCAUAUCGCUAUUGGCAGGAAGCUUCAGUUCCUCACCACACUGGCUUCUCCAUUGAGCCACGUGAAUGUCUUCGAAACUGGGCAGUUAACUUUCCCCAGAGAGAGUGACCCAAGAGAGAAGAAGGAGGAAGCCAUGAAUGCCUUUUAUGAUUUAGCCUCAGAAGUCACACUCCAUUUCCAAGAUUUUCUCUAUAUGCCUCACACAUAUGCCUGACACAUCCAUACGGACAGGGGACACUCACUUUGCUUUCUGGCAACAGCAAAUGGACUCUUCAAAAUCAUUUCGACCAAUGGGGGCUUUCAUUUGGCUUCUUUACCUUUGUCACAUCAGCCUAGGUUAUAAACCUAAACGCCAACCAACAAGGAUGGCCAAGAGCUCAGAGGAGUGCCGUG